CUCUUCUUGAAUAUAUUUUGAUGUAUGGCCUGCCCACUGAAUGUUGAAGGGCCGCGGUAUUUUGACCGUGCAAAGGUAGCAUAAUCAUUAGUCUUUUAAUUGUAGGCUGGAAUGAAUGGUUUGACGAGGUGUUAACUGUCUUUAAUUUUUUUUAUUGAAUUUAAAUUUUAGGUUAAAAUGCCUAAAUAUUUUUUUGGGACGAGAAGACCCUAUAGAGUUUUAUAUAUUUUUAUUUUUUUGUAUGAUAAUUUUUAAUUUAAAAAUUUAUUUUGUUGGGGUGAUGAGAAGAUUAAAUUAACUCUUUUUAUUUUUAUAUAUUUAUGUAUAUAUAUUUGAUCCAUUUUUAUUGAUUACAAGACUAAAUUACC
rnacentral:rRNA from 1 species